GAUGAACGCUGGCGGCGUGCCUAAUACAUGCAAGUCGAGCGAAAGGACGAGAAGCUUGCUGCGCUGAUGUUAGCGGAGGAGGGGAGAGAAACACGUGGAAAACCUCCCUAUAAGACUGGGAUAACUACGGGAAACCGGAGAUAAUCCGGGAUAAUAUUUUGAAGCGCAGGGUGGAAAGGAAAAAGACGGUCUUGCUGUCACUAAUAGAUGGAUACGCGCUGCAUUAGCUAGUUGGUAAGGUAACGGCUUACCAAGGCAACGAGGUGUAGCCGACCUGAGAGGGUGGUCGGCCGCCCUGGAGCUUGAACACCGUCCUUGCUCCUACGGGAGGCAGCAGUAUCGAAUCUUCCGCAAUGGUCGAAAGCCUUACGCAGCAACGCCGCGUGUGUUAUGAAGGUCUUCCGUUCGUAAUACUCUGUUUUUAGUUAUGAACAUAUUUGUAAUUAACUGUGCACAUCUUGACGGUACCUAAUCAGAAAGCUACGGCUAACUACGUG
rnacentral:rRNA from 1 species